rnacentral:rRNA from 1 species
UGGGGAAUCUUCCGCAAUGGACGAAAGUCUGACGGAGCAACGCCGCGUGAGUGAUGACGGUCUUCGGAUUGUAAAGCUCUGUUAAUCGGGACGAAUGGUUUGUGUGCAAAUAGUGCAUAGACAUGACGGUACCGGAAUAGAAAGCCACGGCUAACUACGUGCCAGCAGCCGCGGUAAUACGUAGGUGGCAAGCGUUGUCCGGAUUUAUUGGGCGUAAAGCGAGCGCAGGCGGUUAGAAAAGUCUGAAGUGAAAGGCAGUGGCUCAACCAUUGUAGGCUUUGGAAACUGUUUAACUUGAGUGCAGAAGGGGAGAGUGGAAUUCCAUGUGUAGCGGUGAAAUGCGUAGAUAUAUGGAGGAACACCGGUGGCGAAAGCGGCUCUCUGGUCUGUAACUGACGCUCAGGCUCGAAAGCGUGGGGAGCGAACAGG